rnacentral:tRNA from 1 species
GAGAAAUUAGUUAACUAAUAACACUACCUUGUCAAGGCAUUAUAAUGAGUUUAAACCUCAUAUUUCUUU